rnacentral:rRNA from 1 species
AGUUCGAUCAUGGCUCAGAUUGAACGCUGGCGGGAUGCUUUACACAUGCAAGUCGAACGGCAGCACGGACUUCGGUCUGGUGGCGAGUGGCGAACGGGUGAGUAAUGUAUCGGAACGUGCCUAGUAGCGGGGGAUAACUACGCGAAAGCGUAGCUAAUACCGCAUACGCCCUUCGGGAAAGCGGGGGACCUUCGGGCCUCGCACUAUUAGAGCGGCCGAUAUCGGAUUAGCUAGUUGGUGGGGUAACGGCUCACCAAGGCGACGAUCCGUAGCUGGUUUGAGAGGACGACCAGCCACACUGGGACUGAGACACGGCCCAGACUCCUACGGAGGCAGCAGUGGGAAUUUUGGACAAUGGGGGGAAACCCUGAUCCAGCCAUCCCGCGUGUGCGAUGAAGGCCUUCGGGUUGUAAAGUUACUUUUGGCAGGAAAGAAACGGCACGGGAUAAUACCCCGUGCAACUGACGGUACCUGCAGACAAGCACCGGCUAACUACGUGCCAGCAACCGCGGUGGUAAUACGUAGGGUGCAAGCGUUAAUCGGAAUUACUGGGCGUAAAGCGCGCAGGCGGUUCGGAAAGAAAGAUGUGAAAUCCCAGAGCUUAACUUUGGAACUGCAUUUUUAACUACCGAGCUAGAGUGUGUCAGAGUGAGGUGGAAUUCGCGUGUAGCAGUGAAAUGCGUAGAUAUGCGGAGGAACACCGAUGGCGAAGGCAGCCUCCUGGGAUAACACUGAUGCUCAUGCACGAAAGCGUGGGGAGCAAACAGGAUUAGAUACCCCGGUAGUCCACGCCCUAAACGAUGUCGGACCAGCUGUUGGGGCCUUCUGGCCUUGGUAGCGCAGCUAACGCGUGAAGUUGACCGCCUGGAGUACGGUCGCAAGAUUAAAACUCAAAGGAAUUGACGGGGACCCCGCACAAGCGGUGGAUGAUGUGGAUUAAUUCGAUGCAACGCGAAAAACCUUACCUACCCUUGACAUGUCUGGAAUCCCGAAGAGAUUUGGGAGUGCUCGCAAGAGAACCGGAACACAGGUGCUGCAUGGUUGCCGUCAGUUCGUCGUGAGAUGUUGGGUUAAGUCCCGCAACGAGCGCAACCCUCGUCAUUAUUGCUGCGAAAGGGCACUCUAAUGAGACUGCCGGUGACAAACCGAGGAAGGUGGAUGACGUCAAGUCCUCAUGGCCCUAUGGGUAGGGCUUCAACACGUCAUACAAUGGUCGGGACAGAGGGUCGCCAACCCGCGAGGGGGAGCCAAUCCCAGAAACCCGAUCGUAGUCCGGAUCGCAGUCUGCAACUCGACUGCGUGAAGUCGGAAUCGCUAGUAAUCGCGGAUCAGCAUGUCGCGGUGAAUACGUUCCCGGGUCUUGUACACACCGCCCGUCACACCAUGGGAGUGGGUUUUACCAGAAGUAGUUAGUCUAACCGUAAGGAGGGCGAUUACCACGGUAGGAUUCAUGACUGGGGUGAAGUCGUAACAAGGUAA